rnacentral:lncRNA from 1 species
CUCCCCAUCCCCAAAUUGUUACACACCUCUGUUCAAUUUCCUGACCCUCUGUACUUUUGCCCUGUGUCCUCCCAUACCAGAUCCUGUCUCCUUUUCCAUCCCCUCCACCUCCGAUCUUCCUCUCAAGUCCCUCUCACCCUCUAUCUCCCUUGAUUAUUUUGUUCCCACUUCUAAAUAGGACUGAAGCAUCCACACUUUGGUCUUCCUUCUUGAGCGUCCUAUGGUUUGUGAGUUGAAUUGGGAACAUAAUGGUGUUUGUCCGUUAACGAUGGGGUUAUUUCAACCAGUAUAUUUUUUGCCAGUUCCAUAACUUAGAACAAGAUGUAAAACUAUAAACUCUUUCUGCACCGUGCUGCCUUGACACUGAAGUGCUUCCACAUUAAUGAUAAUGAACUGAACCUCGG